AGUCCUUUAGUUUGACAAAGUAAUAACUAAUCGCUUUCCAAGUAAAUUCAUUCAACUCUAUCAGCUCGCUGCCUAUAAGAAAACCCACCUCCUUUUACAAAUCUAUCCAAAUUAAAAAGAAAAUCAACAAUGGGAGAUGCUGGUAUUCCUGUCACCAAUCCGGCUGACGACAUAAACCCAGAAACAAUCAACUUUAAAAGAAUCAUCACCACUUUGGCAUUUUCGUUCCAAUGUGUUCGGAACAUAUUUAAUGAAACACGCCGUAUUUUGGUUCGCCAAUACCCGCGAGUAGUAGCAUAUGCUGAACAAGUUGGGGGUGACAUAUUACCUAGUCCGGCUCUUUGGUGUAUCGUCAAAUUGUUACUUCCCCUCGUGCAAAUAAAGGCGCAAUUGCUCUCUGGAACUCCUUCUACAACGCACCAUCGCUUUAUGAUCGUGUGGGCCUCCAUUGUCAUCUUAUAUGCCUUAUUUUGUGCAGUUGAAACGGCCCUCAUAUCUUGUUUAGGUUACAACCACACUUCCUUAAGUGUGGUUGUAGCUAGAUUGGAAGUCAAGUUUCUCGGAAUUGGGCAACUGUAUAUUGACACCCAUAUCACUAUCAAGCACCAUUUCACUAAAUCUAUUUGAAGAAGAGCGGAGGGUGCAACGGCAUUCCAUAAAUACUAUUUCGGUUCAAAAAAUUCCAACAUGGAAUCACAAAUCCUUUUCAUGCAAUUCAGAAGUUAUCUUUUCAGCAUGAUCACCACUCACCUAGAAUAAUACCAUUGGUAGGACGUGUUCAACGUUAUCCAGGAUGUGAUCAAUGAUUUAUUUGAUUCAACCGGACAGAAUUUGUGUUCGAGAAGAUCCACAGUAACAAGACAAAAGAGAUGCUGAAGCAGAAAAUAGGAAACAACAAGGAAAGGCACACCCCAAGGGCCCUGGAGGUGGUAGGAACGCUAGUAAACCAGCCCAAAAGCUUGCUGCCAAGAAAGCCACUAUCACAGCAGUUGCUUAACCAAUGGAAACCGAUGAUGCUCCUGCUGCGCGCAAAGAAAGGAAGAGCCCAAGCAGCAGUCCCAAAGAAAGCUCCUGCUAAAAGUAAGGCAGGCAAAUACUGGUUUUAUUAAUACAAGAUUAUGCAAUUGGUAACAACUUAUUAUAAUAACUUAUUUAGACUGUUUAUGAGAGAAGCUACUUUGGUCGAUGAAGACUGCACUAUAUAUUGUUA